AGUGAACGCUGGCGGUAGGCCUAACACAUGCAAGUCGAACGGCAGCACAGGAGAGCUUGCUCUCUGGGUGGCGAGUGGCGGACGGGUGAGGAAUACAUCGGAAUCUACUCUGUCGUGGGGGAUAACGUAGGGAAACUUACGCUAAUACCGCAUACGACCUACGGGUGAAAGCAGGGGACCUUCGGGCCUUGCGCGAUUGAAUGAGCCGAUGUCGGAUUAGCUAGUUGGCGGGGUAAAGGCCCACCAAGGCGACGAUCCGUAGCUGGUCUGUGGGGGUGAGCAGCCACGCUGGAACCGAAACACGGUCCAGCCUCCUACGGGAGGCGGCAGUGGGAAAUAUUGGACAAUGGGCGUAAGCCUGAUCCAGCCAUACCGCGUGGGUGAAGAAGGCCUUCGGGUUGUAAAGCCCUUUUGUUGGGAAAGAAAUCCAGCUGGCUAAUACCCGGUUGGGAUGACGGUACCCAAAGAAUAAGCACCGGCUAACUUCGUGCCAGCCGCCGCAGUAA
rnacentral:rRNA from 1 species